AUUUCGGAUCUCCCCCUUCCCCUUCCCACUUUCAAAUCUCUACUAUUUCUUCUUUCAGUUAGUCCUGACGAAGGGUCUCGGCCCGAAACGUCGACUGUACCUCUUCCUAUAGAUGCUGCCUGGCCUGCUGCGUUCCACUAGCAUUUUUUGUGUGUGUUUCUUGUUCCUCCAAUUUGUUUUGAGCUGUGAAAGUAUUUUUUUUAUAUCAGAACUAACCAUGGAGACUAAAAUUAUCUAAGUUGAAAUGUUGUCCUUCACUCACUGACGUGCUUUGUAAACUUUUAACAGUGUAGAAAAGUAAAAGGAUUUGUGCAUGCGAAUCACAAACACAACAUCACGUUCGUUCCGCUGUAUCUGUCAGUUCACCAGCGCUUGAAUGCCGCCGAUCCUUGAAUGUGGAGGUGGAGAUGCUGGAGAAGACAGCGCCCCACUCGCUACAAGGAGAGCCCGAUCACGUGUCCAUGUCCGUGAUCUGAUUGGAUACAUCGCCAUGACGUUGAUAGCAGUGUGAUGUCAUUCACUGGCUCUCAUUUUGGAAGGGAUUCAGUCGCCAUCGCAGAUACACCAACAGCUUCGCACUGGGAAGCGGCCGUUCACCUGCUCCGUGUGUGUGAAGAGACUCAUUCAGUUAACCCACCUUGUGAUGCUCCGGUGAGUUCACAAUAAAUAGAGGCCACAUUUCUGUCCGGAGUGAGCAAAGACUUUUACUAAACCACCCCAGCUGCUGUAGCACCAGCAACUUCACAUCAGGGAGGAAGUUCAAAUCAACUCUGUGUCAAAUGUUUAACCAUCACGGUGACUGACGGCAGCUGCAGGUUCAUGAGGGGCUGUUACUGUCAGAUUCUGCCGUUCUUGCGGCUGCUCAUCGCACCCAGGACUGAACCCUCGUCACUGAGCAUUGGAAAAGUCUGUUCUGCCGAUGUUAGCCUUAAACUAGACUGGUGUUUAAUAUUCUGGAUCUGUGAAAGAUAAAUCAGUUCUGUAUCAAAUCCCGUGUCUCAGGGCUCUGGACUAAGGUGGUUAAACUCCUUCCCUGCUCUUUUCAACUUUUUGGGGUGAUUUUCACUAAUUUCAAACGACUGUGCCUCAGACAGCUGGGUUGUUGCAAUGCGCUGCUAAAGUCUGACAGGUGACCAGAUAGUGAAUCUUCGAUGGAGCAGAGUCAGAAACCAAUGAGUUGCCAGCCUGAGUCAGGGCUUUGGGGCUUCGGAAAGAGAUGCGGCCUAGAGUUUACAAGAAGGAGGAAGAAGAGGAAUCAGACCAGCAAGAUGUGCCUACAAAUGAAAGAUCAAAAACAUUUGGAAACUAGUUGAUCAAAAAAGUGGUUAAUUUCUGCAAAAUACUGGUGGAAAUCAACAGAUCAGGCAGCCAAUGUGGAGAGGAACAAAUGAACAACGUUUAGGCCGAGCCCCCUCAGCAUUCAUUGGCUGUGUACUCCUUUGCUUAGUUGCUGCCUGAACUGCAGAGUUCCUCCAGCAUUUUGUGUGUAUGUGUCUACAUUUCCAGCAACAGCAGAAUCUCUUGUGUUUUAUAUCUGCAUUUGUAAGAACGUUUUACUUUGGCAUUAAACACGCGGGACGUUUGCUGAUAUUAAGUGUAUUGUUGUAUUAGAGCUGCUUUCUGCGUUAAAAGAGGUGAUGAGUUUUCUACACAAAAAGAAACUGAGGUAUGUACUUGAACCGGUGCUUGCAGAAACUUUCAAUGGCACCGUGAUUAACUUGAAAGCUCUUUAACAAAUCUCACCGUCGCUGAAGCACCGACCGAAUGCGCAGGCGUCAGGGUCGCGGCUGGUCCCGAAUAUCACGCAUGCGCAGUACACAAAAGGCCUCGGAUAUCGCUGUUGGUGAGUGUUUCUCCGUGAGACCGUUUUCACUACCGACUGAGGGGCAAUUGCUGUGACAUCGGGAAACUGUGACCCGUGAUCCCGGGAUAGUCCUGUUCUCUUCCCUCUCUCUCAGCCCCACGAUCCCUGCACGGAUCCCGGGGAGCUUCCGGCUGAUGAGGAAAUGGGAGCCGAUGGAUCUCUCAGACAGAGCUGAGCUCCAGCUAUCCAAAUGCAAGGACUGGGAACUCGGAGAAAGGGAACAAAAUCUUUUACAUCACCAGAUGGUGACUGAGGAAGAAGCUUGUUGACGGAGGAUACCCGGAGGCGAGCAGCUCAGACACGGAAUCAGGAACUGAAUUGAAUUGACUUUAUUUCUUACAUCGAUCAGGAGUAAAAAUCUUUACCUUACGUCUCCUUCUAAAUGUGCAGCGUGCAAUCAUAGUAAUUUAUAACAGUUUAUAAUAAAUAAAACAGACAAUGUAAUAUAGAGUACACUCAAAUCAGCGUGAGUUCAUCAGUCUGACGGCCUGGUGGAAGAAGCUGUCCCGGAGCCUGUUGGUCCUGGCUUUUAUGUUGCGGUACCGCUUCCCGGAUGGUAUCAGGAGAGUGACAGUGAUGUGAUUUCCUGUGUCACGGGUACAGACAGUCGUCUCAAGUGAGGAGUUUGUGUGGAGAUGCAGCUUCCCUGGAGGUGGAGGAAAGAGGGCACACCAACAGGUGGAACCAGCUGUGGGAAGACAUGGUUUGUCAGGUCUGACGAUGAGCUGAAUGUACCAUAACCUUCAGACUGAAUCAGAAAACCAUUCUGAGGGUAUUUGAAAUGGCAGAAGCAGGGGAGAUGUGAUCACAUGUGCAGAGGGCAGUGGUUGUGUCUCCAUCAGACCCUCAGUGAGAUGGCUCAAGUUACAAUGUGCAGGGAUGAAAGCACAGUGUUUGGGGCUGGAUUCUGACACAGUGAGAGGGUUAGUUUUGUUGUAAGGAGGCAACAUUACUGUCCCCUUACUGUCUUCCCUCUCCACCCCAUCCUCCCUCUCACCCCCACAUUGGACAUAAGUUCAGGGUGAAAGUGAAUUCUUUGAGGGGAGUCUGAAGGGGAAUUCUACACUCAGAGGUUGGUGGGAGUGUGGAAUGAGCUGCCAGUGAAAGUGGUGAAUGUGGGUUCGAUUUAGACACUAAAGAGAAAUUUGGGUGAUGAGAUGGAUGGGAGGUGUAUGGAGGCUAUGGUGCACAUAGUUGGAACUAGGCAGUAAAAACAUAAACAGGUCAGCAUUGACUAGAAGGGCCGAAGGGCCUGUUUCAGUGCUGCUGGGCUCUGUGACUCUAAUAAUAUUCUGAUCUGUAAUUUCCACAGUCAGUGCUUUGCUGCUAAUGACUGAACCCAGAAAUUUACCCAAACAAGAACUGAAAGACUCUUAGCUGGCUACAGAAAGCGUUUACAAGCUGUGAUACUUGUCAAGGGGGUGUUACUAAGCACUGACCAUGCAGGUAGCCCAAACUUUUGCUUCGGGCCCUUUUCCUUUCUUGCUAUUUUGAAACUGUAAACAAUGGAAAUAAAAAUGUAAUCCUGCUUAAAAUAUUAAAGAAAUGUGCUAUAUUUAACUUUGUGCCUUUUGGAAAUCAGGUCAUCUUUUACUCGCUUAGCUAUUCACAGUAACAGAAAUUUAACCAGGGGUGCCCAAACAUUUACAUGGCACUGUAUAUAUCCUGUGCCUUCUGAAUUGCUUCCAGAAAUUCCUGCCGUUGCUGCUCUGUUUUUAUCCCUGCCCGCGUUCUUUGAAAAUCAAUUUUGACCAGUUUAUCUCUUAUGCCUCUCUAAUUCUCUUUAUUCCUCAUCUGACUUUAGCUUCUCCUUCUCUAAUGUCAGGGUGAAUUUGAUCAUAUAAAGAUCACUUGCCCCUAAGGGUUCUUUGAACUUAAGUGAACUAAUUCAUUCUGCAUUAUUACAACACCCAAUCCAGAAUAGUUGAUCCCCAAGUGGGCUCAACCACGAGCUGCUCUAAAAAAGCAUCUUGUAGGCAUUCCAGGAAUUCCUCGUCUUGAGACCAACACCGUCCUAAUUUUCCUAAUCACCUGCAUGACAAUCCCCCAUGGCUAUUGUAACAUUGCCCUUUUGGCACACAUUUUCUAUCUCCCAUUGUAAUUUGUGGACCACAUACUUACUACUGUUUGGAGGUCUCUAUACAAUUCCCAUCAGGGAUUUUUUUUACAUUUGCUGUUCCUUAAUUCUACCCACAGAUUCUACACCUUCCAACCCUAUGCCACCUCUUUCUAAUGACUUUACUUAAUAUUUUACAAACACAGCCACAGAAUCCCACUAUCAGCUUGUUCCUGGCUUGUUCUUUCAAGAAACAUAUAAGUAUCUGGGAAACAAGAGGACCUGCAGAUGCUAGAAAUCUACAGAACUACACACAAACUGCUGGAGGAUCUCAGCAUGUCAGGCAGCAUCUAUGGAUGGGAAUCAAUAUUUUGGGCCAAGACCCUUCAUCGGGACUCUUGAUCCCAAUGUAUCUGGAAUAUCAACAAGCAAAGAAAAUAGAAAGUAGUGUGAAGUAGGGAAAACCUUUGACAAAAUUUCGUUCAAGGCUUUAAAAAACCUGCCAAACAGAGCUCAAUAGUUAACAAACACAACAAGGGCAAUAAACACUUUCAUCAAUACCAACAUUGGCAUUUUUAAAAUGAAAGUAUCUUGGUUCCAUUUCAAUCAGUAAAAUUUAUAAAGAUAAAUAAGAACUUUGGAAAACUUUAGAAAGGACUAUUUACACUGAAACCCACUUAGAUUAACACUACCUUGGACAGAAGAAGGAAGUGAAAUAACACACAUUAAAACAAAAUCACACAACAGUCAGAUAAAACUUCUAAGUACGAGGGGUGAUUCAUAAAUUCAUGGCCUAAGGUAGGAGGAGAUGAGUUAUACAGCCCUCGUUACAUGCACAUGCAGUUCAACUCUGAGUGAUUAUGCAGAAAGUUUGAAGUUAAGAACUUAUCAGGGGUAACUGAUAGGUUUGUGGCCUAAGGUAGAAGGAAAUGAGUUAUUAACUUCAAACUUUCCGCAUAAUCACUCAAAGAGCUGACCUGCAUGUGCAUAUAAUGAGAGCUUUAUAACUCAUCUCCUUCUAACUUAGGCCAUGAACUUAUCAAUCGCCCAUCUGUGGACACUUUCUGGAGGUCCAAGAUCCGUGUGCUCCACGACUGCUGGACUAAGUGUGUAAAUGUAGGAGGGGACUAUGUUGAAAAAUAAAUGUGCUAGGUUUUCUAAAACUGACUCUUACCUGAGGCCGCGAACAUAUCAAUCACCCCUUGUAUAUAUCUUCAUCAAAAAUGAACAGGAUUCAGCACUCCCUGUGUGUAUAUGCAAUCAUGUAAGAAAUACAGACCAGAAAACAUAAAUGAGAGGUCAAAUCAGAAAAAUGAAUCAUCACUAUGGAAGAAAACAUUAACCAGUGGAAUGAGUAUGACCCUCCAUGGGAGACGUCCCAAUGAUCUGAGCAGACAAGAUGGUGACAAGGAAGCAUCGAGCACCUGACUGAGAGUUGGAGACCUCUUCCCAGAAACAGAGGGGUCCUUGCAGAACUACAGGACAAGGUGGUUAACAAAAGGAAAAGAAAAUCAAAAACACAUGAAAUAUAAACAAACAAGGCAGCAAGUGCAGAAAAUGCCAAGAGAAACCAGACACAAUCCAACACAUUUCAGGAUUCUGCAGCAGUUUAACUCUGUCAAUCAGCCUCCAAAUGUUGCUACUCUGUCAUUCUUUGCCGCACCCCACUGCUGAUUCCCUUCUCCUCGACUUAUUUAGUCUGCAGAAAGUUCAAGGGAAACCUCUUCACCCACAGAGUGGUGACUGUUUCGAACCCAUCACCACAGGGAGAGCGAGAGAUGAACAACAGGGGAGGAUUUAAAAGGAUUUGUGGAACUGAAUCACUGGCAGGGUCCAGCCGGCCUGAGUUGACUCUCUACUGUACACUAGUUGUGUUAUAAAUUCACUAAGUACCAUAGACAGAGUUUAAAAUAGAACUGAUUUAUUUGUCUCUUAUCAAGAAUAUUAAACUCCAGUCCCAUUAAAGGUGAAUAUGCAGCAGAAGAAACUCCUCCCAUGCCCAGUGACCAGGGUGCAGAACUGGGUAUGGUGAGCAGCAGCAAUAAUUGCAGAGUUCAGCACCGACAGUCACUCUCGAAAUUGCAAUGGUGAUGGACAAAUAUCCAGCAUGCAGCUUAUUGAAACUUUCUUCCCAGUGUGAACCCGGUAGUGGGUCACAAGUGUAACAUGCUGUAAGGUUUCACUGCUAAUGUAACGGCCUCUCUGUGAUGUUUCACUGCUGAGGGAAUGGUUUCUCUGUAGCAGCAAUGUUUAGGUUACAACUAGAGAUAACAGGGUUUUGGAGUGCGGGGUUAUCCAAUGACAGAAAUGUUCUUCCUUGUGAGUCUGGAAGAGAGAUUUCAUGGUCUUUUGCUGGGGAGAGAUGAGAAGACGUGAAUGGAGAGAGUGGGCCCAUUUUCUUUUUUUUUUGUUUUCUUUACUAACCCUACAGUCAAAGUAAGAAUUUUAAAUCUCAUUCGUUUAAUCAGAUAUUGUGUACUGUUUGUUAUUUUGGGGGACUGAUUUGUAACACAGGACACAUCACACAGCAUCCACCAAAACGAGAUUUCAUAAGUUUGGCCGUGCUGGGGGGGCUAUCACCCCCUAUAUUAUGCUGCUAGCUGAAGCGAGAGUUACAUAAGAUUACAU